CCUGGAAUAGCUCAGUCAGUAGAGCAUGAGACUAUUAAUCUCAGGCUCAUGGGUUCAAUCCCAUGUUGGGU
rnacentral:tRNA from 1 species